AGAGUUUGAUCCUGGCUCAGGAUGAACGCUGGCGGUCUGCUUAACACAUGCAAGUCGAACGGGACUCUUCGGAGUUUAGUGGCGGACGGGUGAGUAACGCGUGAGAAUCUGCCCUUAGGUUGGGGACAACAGUUGGAAACGACUGCUAAUACCCAAUGUGCCGAGAGGUGAAAGGUUAACUGCCUGGGGAUGAGCUCGCGUCUGAUUAGCUAGUUGGAGUGGUAACGGCACACCAAGGCGACGAUCAGUAGCUGGUCUGAGAGGAUGAUCAGCCACACUGGGACUGAGACACGGCCCAGACUCCUACGGGAGGCAGCAGUGGGGAAUUUUCCGCAAUGGGCGAAAGCCUGACGGAGCAAGACCGCGUGAGGGAGGAAGGCCUAUUGGUUGUAAACCUCUUUUGAUAGGGAAGAACACAAUGACGGUACCUAUCGAAUCAGCAUCGGCUAACUCCGUGCCAGCAGCCGCGGUAAUACGGAGGAUGCAAGCGUUAUCCGGAUUUAUUGGGCGUAAAGCGUCCGUAGGUGGCAAACCAAGUCAGUUGUUAAAGCGUAGAGCUUAACUCUAUAAGGGCAAUUGAAACUGGUUAGCUAGAGUGCGAUAGGGGCAAGGGGAAUUCCCAGUGUAGCGGUGAAAUGCGUAGAUAUUGGGAAGAACAUCGGUGGCGAAGGCGCCUUGCUGGGUCUGCACCGACACUGAGGGACGAAAGCUAGGGGAGCGAAAGGGAUUAGAUACCCCUGUAGUCCUAGCCGUAAACGAUGG
rnacentral:rRNA from 1 species